rnacentral:rRNA from 1 species
AUUGAACGCUGGCGGCAUGCCUUACACAUGCAAGUCGAACGGCAGCACGGGUGCUUGCACCUGGUGGCGAGUGGCGAACGGGUGAGUAAUAUAUCGGAACGUACCUUAUUGUGGGGGAUAACGCAGCGAAAGCUGUGCUAAUACCGCAUAAUCCCUAAGGGGGAAAGCGGGGGACCGUAAGGCCUCGCGCAAUUAGAGCGGCCGAUACCUGAUUAGCUAGUUGGUGAGGUAAAGGCUCACCAAGGCAACGAUCAGUAGCUGGUCUGAGAGGACGAUCAGCCCCACUGGGACUGAGACACGGCCCAGACUCCUACGGGAGGCAGCAGUGGGGAAUUUUGGACAAUGGGGGCAACCCUGAUCCAGCAAUGCCGCGUGAGUGAAGAAGGCCUUCGGGUUGUAAAGCUCUUUCGUCAGGGAAGAAACAGCAGCUCUAACACAGUAUGCGAAUGACGGUACCUGAAGAAUAAGCACCGGCUAACUACGUGCCAGCCGCCGCCGUAA